rnacentral:rRNA from 1 species
AGGAUGAACGCUGGCGGCGUGCCUAAUACAUGCAAGUCGAGCGGUAAGGCCCCUUCGGGGGUACACGAGCGGCGGACGGCUGAGUAACACGUAGGAACGUACCCCAAACUGAGGGAUAAGCACCAGAAAUGGUGUCUAAUACCGCAUGUGGUCUUCGGAUUAAAGCUUCGGCGGUUUGGGAACGGCCUGCGCAUGAUUAGCUUGUUGGUGAGGUAAAAGCUUACCAAGGCGACGAUCAUUAGCUGGUCUGAGAGGAUGAUCAGCCAGACUGGGACUGAGAACGGCCCAGACUCCUACGGGAGGCAGCAGUAGGGAAUUUCCACAAUGGGCGAAAGCCUGAUGGAGCAACGCCGCGUGCAGGACGAAGGCCUUCGGGUUGUAAACUGCUUUUAUAUGUGAAGAUUAUGACGGUAGCAUAUGAAUAAGGAUCGGCUAACUCCGUGCCAGCAGCCGC